rnacentral:misc_RNA from 1 species
ACCGAUGACGGCGAUUACAACGUCAAACUGCGCAACCUCGUUCGCUUCCUCGAAGACGGCGACAAGACGAAGAUCACGUUGCGUUUCCGGGGCCGCGAAAUGGCUCACCAGGAAAUCGGCAUGCGGAUGCUCGAACGUCUGCGCACCGACCUCGAAGAGGUGGGCCAGGUCGAGCAGAUGCCGAAGAUGGAAGGGCGCCAGAUGAUCAUGGUGCUCGCGCCGAAGAAAAAGAAGUAAGCACGCGCCGUGCGUCCGCGGACGCACGGCGGGUGAGGCAGGAUCACCAAAGCAGGAUCAACAAGGUUGUGCGCUUCGCCGUACCGGCGA